rnacentral:rRNA from 1 species
AAUCAACGCUGGCGGCGUGCCUCAGACAUGCAAGUCGAGCGAUUAAAGCUCUCUUCGGAGAGUGUAUAAAGCGGCGUACGGGUGAGUAACACGUAAGUAAUCUACCUUCGAGUGGGGAAUAACAGUCGGAAACGACUGCUAAUACCGCAUAAUGCAGCGGCACCUAAGUGGUGACAGUUGUUAAAGCAUUUAUGCGCUUGAAGAGGAGCUUGCGGCAAGGAUUAGCCUUGUUGGUAAGGUAAUGGCUUACCAAGGCUACGAUCUGUAUCCGGUCUAAGAGGACGGUCGGACACACUGACACUGAAUAAC